AGCGAAUUCACCCUUGACUCUGCAUAUUUGACCUUUGCGCCAACAUCACUCUUCAGUUUGAGGGAUUCUUCAGUCGUUCAGUCAUGAAACUGCUGGUGCUCGUUCUGUGCGUCUUGGCAUUAAGUUCUGCCUUUCCUGCCUCUGAGGAGAAUGAGCGAAUCAAACGCUCUAAAAGUAAAAGUAACGAGCGGAUGCCCUACCCACCCUACAUCUACUACCCACCACCACCACAACCCCCUGUCACCCCCCCUCCUACCAAUCAGCAAAUCCCGCCUAGCGCAAUAUUGGCCUUGCUUCAGUAUUUGGCAGCUCAAGGAAAAUGAUAAAACAAACUGGUUGCAAGAGAUUAUUUCAUCUUCGGCAUAAAUAAACCAUUGUGAUAAUGAUAGUAUUUGUGGAUGUUUUUUUUUUAUUUCUUUUUCAGCUUUUAACCUUUACUUGAACAAUGUAUUACAACAGCAACAGAAACAAUAACCAAAUACAUAGAAAGAGAUUUUCUCAUUAUUUUUUAUAACUGAAAGCAUGUUAGUUUAAUGGAUUUUACAUUCAGAGAAACACAUGGUAACACUGCAUAAUAGAAGAAAUGGCAGGCUAGAAAUUAAAAUAAAAAAUUAUAAGUCUAACCUUUUGGGCCCCA
ensembl:lncRNA